rnacentral:lncRNA from 1 species
GUGGCCGAGCCUUGAACGAUUGCCAUGCCUGAAUCCCGUAUCUAGCAGCUAGUGCAGCAGCUGCGACUGCAGCUCCAGCCAAUAAAGGUGUAGCCUAAGGUACAUCCUUAAAUUUGUCAGCUCAAUUAUAUCAACACACCACGCUCAUCAACUGGAAAAAAUGUUCCUAGGUUAACUCAUCCUAGGGUUGAUUGAACGAGCUAAUACCAACCGUUUAAUUUUCAAAGGAGGAGAGACAUGCCGCAGGCCAUAUUACUCAAAAGUGACGGUGAGAUCAAUAAUAACAAGAACUUGAAGUACAGUAUCAGACGAAUCCAGAAUGGUAAAACGAUCCGAAAGCUGACAAGGUAACACAAGACCA